AAGGGCUUAGGCUAAAUUUAGACCAAAGGCCUUCAAAGCCUUAAGCAGGUGAUAAACCACCUAGCCCUUA
rnacentral:tRNA from 1 species